CCAACAGGGAUUGCCUCAGUAACGGCGAGUGAAGCGGCAACAGCUCAAAUUUGAAAGCUGGCUCUUUUAGGGCCCGCAUUGUAAUUUGUAGAGGAUGCUUCAGGUGCGGCGCUGGUCUAAGUUCUUUGGAACAAGACGUUAUAGAGGGUGAGAAUCCCGUAUGUGACUAGCUGCCUGUGCCUGUGUGAAGCUCCUUCGACGAGUCGAGUUGUUUGGGAAUGCAGCUCAAAAUGGGUGGUGUACUUCAUCUAAAGCUAAAUAUUGGCCAGAGACCGAUAGCGCACAAGUAGAGUGAUCGAAAGAUGAAAAGCACUUUGGAAAGAGAGUUAAACAGUACGUGAAAUUGUUGAAAGGGAAGCGCUUGCAAUCAGACUUGUGCGGCGUCGAUCAACCUGGGUUCUCCCUGGUGCACUCGGCGCUGCUCAGGCCAGCAUCAGUUUCGGCGGUUGGAUAAAGGCCUAGGGAACGUGGGUUACUUCGGUGACUGUUAUAGCCCUAGGUGCAAUGCAGCCUGCUGGGACUGAGGACCGCGCUUCGGCUAGGAUGCUGGCGUAAUGGUUGUAAGCGACCCGUCUUGAAACACGGACCAAGGAGUCUAACAUCUAUGCGAGUUUUUGGGUGUUAAACCCAUAAGCGUAAUGAAAGUGAACGGAGGUGAGAACCCUUCAGGGUGCAUCAUCGACCGAUCCUGAUGUCUUCGGAUGGAUUUGAGUAAGAGCAUAGCUGUUGGGACCCGAAAGAUGAUGAUCUAUACCUGAAUAGGGUGAAGCCAGAGGAAACUCUGGUGGAGGCUCGCAGCGGUUCUGACGUGCAAAUCGAUCGUCAAAUUUGGGUAUAGGGGCGAAAGACUAAUCGAA
rnacentral:rRNA from 1 species